rnacentral:rRNA from 1 species
CGGGUGAGUAACGCGUGGGUAACCUGCCUCAUACAGGGGGAUAACAGUUAGAAAUGACUGCUAAUACCGCAUAAGCGCACAGUGCUGCAUGGCACAGUGUGAAAAACUCCGGUGGUACAAGAUGGACCCGCGUCUGAUUAGCUGGUUGGUGAGGUAACGGCCCACCAAGGCAACGAUCAGUAGCCGGCCUGAGAGGGUGAACGGCCACAUUGGGACUGAGACACGGCCCAAACUCCUACGGGAGGCAGCAUG